rnacentral:rRNA from 1 species
GGGGAAUAUUGCGCCAUGGGGGUAACCCUGACGCAGCAAUACCGCGUGAGUGAAGUAGGCUUUCGGUUUGUAAAUCUCCGUUAUUGGGGAAGAAAAAACGACUGUACCCAAGAAGCAAGUACCGGCUAACUACGUGCCAGCAGCCGCGGUAAUACGUAGGGGACAAGCGUUGUCCGGAUUUACUGGGCGUAAAGGGCACGCAGGCGGUUUUUUAAGUCAGAUGUGAAAGGUACCGGCUCAACCGGUGACAUGCAUUUGAAACUGAAAGACUUGAGUAUUGGAGAGGCAAGUGGAAUUCCUAGUGUAGCGGUGAAAUGCGUAGAUAUUAGGAGGAACACCGGUGGCGAAGGCGGCUUGCUGGACAAAUACUGACGCUGAGGUGCGAAAGCGUGGGGAGCAAACG